rnacentral:rRNA from 1 species
CCUACGGGUGGCAGCAGUGGGGAAUAUUGGGCAAUGGGCGCAAGCCUGACCCAGCAACGCCGCGUGAAGGAAGAAGGCUUUCUGGUUGUAAACUUCUUUUGACAGGGAAGUGCAGAAUACGAUACCUGUCAAAUAAUCCACGGCUAACUACGUGCCAUCAGCCGCGGUAAUACGUAUGGUGCAAGCGUUAUCCGGAUUUACUGGGUGUAAAGGGAGCGCAGGCGGCACGGCAAGCCUGAUGUGAAAGCCCGCGGCUCAACCGCGGGACUGCAUUGGGAACUACCGGGCUGGAGUGCCGGAGAGGUAGGCGGAAUUCCUAGUGUAGCGGUGAAAUGCGUAGAUAUUAGGAGGAACACCGGUGGCGAAGGCGGCCUGCUGGACUACAACUGACGUUGAGGCCCGAAAGCGUGGGGAGCAAACAGGAUUAGAUACCCCGGUAGUC